AAGCCAGCUAAUUGAUCUGCUUAUCACAAUGUUUAUGCAGAGAAAUUUAGGAAAGACUGGCAAUAAUGAUGCCAUGUUAAGAGCCUUAAGGACAGCUGAAGUCUUUAAGGUCCCUGAAAAUGGCUACACAC